rnacentral:rRNA from 1 species
UACGAAGGGGGCUAGCGUUGCUCGGAAUUAAUGGGCGUAAAGCGCACGUAGGCGGCUCGUUAAGUCGGAGGUGAAAUCCUGGAGCUCAACUCCAGAACUGCCUUCGAUACUGAUGAGCUCGAGUUCGGGAGAGGUGAGUGGAACUGCGAGUGUAGAGGUGAAAUUCGUAGAUAUUCGCAAGAACACCAGUGGCGAAGGCGGCUCACUGGCCCGAUACUGACGCUGAGGUGCGAAAGCGUGGGGAGCAAACAGG